rnacentral:tmRNA from 1 species
GGGGGUGUUCCGGAUUCGACUGCGGGCCGUAGGGUCUGGUUGCAUGCCGGAGACGAUUGCUCCACUCCGUUAAAAAGGCGAUCACCUUGCUAUUAAAUGCCAAGGAUAAAGUAAUCAGCUUCCCGGGCGCAGCUCCGGAAGCUAUGGCAGCCUAAAGCGCCGCCUCGUUCCGCUGGGGAUACCUGUUAACCAGUUGGGACGUCAUCUAGCAGGCAUAGCGUGACGUUGGUACCGCCCGUCACGCUGUACAACUAUCGGUGCUAGUGCUUCUUCAGCGUGCUGAUUCGCGGGAGACGUGCGAAACCAAAUAAUCAGAUAAGCAUGUAGACGCCUCGUCUGAACGUCCGUAGGACGCGGGUUCGACUCCCGCCACCUCCACCA